UACGGGGGGGGCAAGCGUUGUUCGGAAUUACUGGGCGUAAAGGGCUCGUAGGCGGCCAACUAAGUCAGAUGUGAAAUCCCUCGGCUUAACCGGGGAACUGCGUCUGAUACUGGAUGGCUUGAGUUCGGGAGAGGGAUGCGGAAUUCCAGGUGUAGCGGUGAAAUGCGUAGAUAUCUGGAGGAACACCGGUGGCGAAGGCGGCAUCCUGGACCGACACUGACACUGAGGAGCGAAAGCCAGGGGAGCAAACGGG
rnacentral:rRNA from 1 species